CCUACGGGUGGCAGCAGUGGGGAAUAUUGGACAAUGGGGGCAACCCUGAUCCAGCCAUGCCGCGUGUGUGAAGAAGGCCCUCGGGUUGUAAAGCACUUUCAGUGAGGAAGAACGCCUGGUGGUUAAUACCCAUCAGGAAAGACAUCACUCACAGAAGAAGCACCGGCUAACUCCGUGCCAGCAGCCGCGGUAAUAUGGAGGGUGCGAGCGUUAAUCGGAAUUACUGGGCGUAAAGCGCGCGUAGGUGGCUUGAUAAGCCGGUUGUGAAAGCCCCGGGCUCAACCUGGGAACGGCAUCCGGAACUGUCAAGCUAGAGUGCAGGAGAGGAAGGUAGAAUUCCCGGUGUAGCGGUGAAAUGCGUAGAGAUCGGGAGGAAUACCAGUGGCGAAGGCGGCCUUCUGGACUGACACUGACACUGAGGUGCGAAAGCGUGGGUAGCAAACAGGAUUAGAUACCCGUGUAGUC
rnacentral:rRNA from 1 species